AAGGAUUUCUUCGGAAUGAAUUUGAUUAAGUUUAGUGGCGGACGGGUGAGUAACGCGUGAGUAACCUGCCUCUAAGAGGGGAAUAACAUUCUGAAAAGAAUGCUAAUACCGCAUAACAUAUAUUUAUCGCAUGGUAGAUAUAUCAAAGAUUUAUCGCUUAGAGAUGGACUCGCGUCCGAUUAGUUAGUUGGCGAGGUAACGGCUCACCAAGACCGCGAUCGGUAGCCGGACUGAGAGGUUGAACGGCCACAUUGGGACUGAGACACGGCCCAGACUCCUACGGGAGGCAGCAGUGGGGGAUAUUGCGCAAUGGGGGAAACCCUGACGCAGCAACGCCGCGUGAAGGAUGAAGGUCUUCGGAUUGUAAACUUCUUUUAUUAAGGACGAAGAAAGUGACGGUACUUAAUGAAUAAGCUCCGGCUAACUACGUGCCAGCAGCCGCGGUAAUACGUAGGGAGCAAGCGUUGUCCGGAUUUACUGGGUGUAAAGGGUGCGUAGGCGGCUUUGCAAGUCAGAUGUGAAAUCUAUGGGCUCAACCCAUAGCCUGCAUUUGAAACUGCAGAGCUUGAGUGAAGUAGAGGCAGGCGGAAUUCCCCGUGUAGCGGUGAAAUGCGUAGAGAUGGGGAGGAACACCAGUGGCGAAGGCGGCCUGCUGGGCUUU
rnacentral:rRNA from 1 species